rnacentral:lncRNA from 1 species
CUCAAGGUCUUUUGUACCUUUCUUGGGUGCGAGGAGGCUCACUUCUCUUUAUCUCCUUUACUUUGGUUUUGGAGGAGAUCUUGAUAGGCGCGGAGGCGGUCUUGACGGGCGCAGUGCUUGUUGGAAAUGUGCCCUAAAACCAAUCAUAUGAUGAUACUUUACGGACAUUUCGCAUGUUAAACUAAUCUAGAUUAACUAUAAAGGGCAAAGAUUAUUGUUUGAGCCAUCUCAUAUAAAUGUUAUAUGCUUAAAUGAUAAAGUCCAAGGAAUAUGUGAUUGGAAGAAUGUAAUCUAAUGAAGUUAGAUUCAUGAGACCAUUCUUUCGUAGACACAUCCUAAAUGUUCCUGAUCAUAGGAUUGCCAAUUGGGCAUUGACAGUUCGUCAAGAUCGGUACGUGCUAUGUCUUCUCUCAGGGAGAGUGACUAGUCUCGAGUCAUUGGUGUGUGUGACAUCAAGACAAGUACGUAGGUGCUCAGUAGAGAAUGAGUUCACUAAACGUGAUCAACGAAGAGUUCUCAUACUCAUGUUGAUGCGAAAAUUACUUGACACACAAAUUAAACCCUCUUUUUGACAAUUGUAGUAUAGAUGUAAGUAGGGUAUCGUUCUAGGCCGGGGAUUAGGAGGGAUUGCUAAUCUAUUCUAAAUUAAUUUUAAAAUAUUAAAUAAGACUCAAGGACACAAAAUUAGGCUAAAAACUCUAAUAACUCGAAACACACUUAAAAUGACUCAAAAUAAUGAAAACAAUUAAAUUAAACACUAGGAACUGAAAUGGACGGAAAUUAAAUUAAAAGACUAACAAUAAAGAAAACUAACUAAAUAAUAUAAUUUAAUAAUGGAUGGGUGUUUGGUUUUGAUGAAAAGUAAAUUAAACUUAAUUAAAUUACAGAAUUGACAAAAAUAUGAAAUUAAGGUGAAAGAAUAGGUGACAGACUAGCUAGAGGGUUCUUCUCCACACAUGACACAUAUGCAACCUAAAUUAAUUUUCAGUUGUUCUUUCAAUAAAUUGUGAAUUUCAACACUUCAGAUUAAUCGUGAACAACACUUUUUUAAUCUUCAAGUUUUCCUUAAGUUAUUGAAUUGGACGGAAAAACGCAUACAACAAUU